UGGGGAAUAUUGCACAAUGGGCGAAAGCCUGAUGCAGCAACGCCGCGUGAGGGACGACGGCCUUCGGGUUGUAAACCUCUUUUAGCAAGGAAGAAGCGAAAGUGACGGUACUUGCAGAAAAAGCGCCGGCUAACUACGUGCCAGCAGCCGCGGUAAUACGUAGGGCGCAAGCGUUAUCCGGAAUUAUUGGGCGUAAAGAGCUCGUAGGCGGUUUGUCGCGUCUGCUGUGAAAACCCGAGGCUCAACCUCGGGCCUGCAGUGGGUACGGGCAGACUAGAGUGCGGUAGGGGAGAUUGGAACUCCUGGUGUAGCGGUGGAAUGCGCAGAUAUCAGGAAGAACACCGAUGGCGAAGGCAGAUCUCUGGGCCGUAACUGACGCUGAGGGGCGAAAGGGUGGGGAGCAAACAGGCUUAGGAUACCCUGGGUAGUCCACCCCGUAAACGUUGGGAACUAGUUGUGGGGGUCCAUUCCACGGAUUCCGUGACGCAGCUGAA
rnacentral:rRNA from 1 species